UACAGCGACCAAGCGUGCACGGGCUUUAUCUUAAGCUGUUGUUUCGGUGCUGGGCUAGGCCUUCAUUACUGUCGUUGUGCUCCUCACGCUCACUGCAUGCAACUCAUUACACUGUUCAAAAUUAUCAUUUUGGCUCGGUAUAAAAUUGUUUAUUCUAAUUGAACGUGCACAUUGUGUCCAAUUUAUAUGUAUUAACAAAGACAUCGUUACCAUUUACUCCAAGAUCAACAUAAAGAGGGGCAAUGUCUUCAAGAGUAGAAAGAGGCCCAGUGUUUUCGUAACCCUGUUCACUUAGGAAAGAGUUGCAGCUUUCAUCAAAGAAA